UGGGAAUUUUGGACAAUGGGCGAAAGCCUGAUCCAGCAAUGCCGCGUGUGUGAAGAAGGCCUUCGGGUUGUAAAGCACUUUUGUCCGGAAAGAAAUCCUUGGCUCUAAUACAGUCGGGGGAUGACGGUACCGGAAGAAUAAGCACCGGCUAACUACGUGCCAGCAGCCGCGGUAAUACGUAGGGUGCAAGCGUUAAUCGGAAUUACUGGGCGUAAAGCGUGCGCAGGCGGUUUGCUAAGACCGAUGUGAAAUCCCCGGGCUCAACCUGGGAACUGCAUUGGUGACUGGCAGGCUAGAGUAUGGCAGAGGGGGGUAGAAUUCCACGUGUAGCAGUGAAAUGCGUAGAGAUGUGGAGGAAUACCGAUGGCGAAGGCAGCCCCCUGGGCCAAUACUGACGCUCAUGCACGAAAAGCGUGGGGAGCAAACAGGAUUAGAUACCCUGGUAGUCCACGCCCUAAAACGAUGUCAACUAGUUGUUGGGGAUUCAUUUCCUUAGUAACGUAGCUAACGCGUGAAGUUGACCGCCUGGGGAGUACGGUCGCAAGAUUAAAACUCAAAUGAAUUGACGGGGUCAUAGCUGUUUCCU
rnacentral:rRNA from 1 species